CCUACGGGGGGCUGCAGUAGGGAAUUUUCGGCAAUGGGGGGAACCCUGACCGAGCAACGCCGCGUGAAGGAAGAAGGAAUUCGUUCUGUAAACUUCUGUUAUAAAGGAAGAAAGACGGAUGGAGGAAAUGACAUCCGAGUGACGGUACUUUAUGAGAAAGCCACGGCUAACUACGUGCCAGCAGCCGCGGUAAUACGUAGGUGGCAAGCGUUAUCCGGAAUUAUUGGGCGUAAAGAGGGAGCAGGCGACAGCAAAGGUCUGUGGUGAAAGACUGAAGCUUAACUUCAGUAAGCCAUAGAAACCGGGCAGCUAGAGUGCAGGAGAGGAUCGUGGAAUUCCAUGUGUAGCGGUGAAAUGCGUAGAUAUAUGGAAGAACACCAGUGGCGAAGGCGGCCGCCUGACCUGUUGCUGACGCUGAGGCACGAAAGCGUGGGGAGCAAAUAGGAUUAGAUACCCUAGUAGUC
rnacentral:rRNA from 1 species